UUUUUCACACUGUUCGAACAUCUGAUGAGAACUUGAAGGACUUUAUUACAUGGGGUCUUGGGACUCUAGUUUCCAUUGUGCGCCAGCACAUACGCAAGUAUCUGCCAGAGCUGCUGUCACUAGUCUCUGAACUAUGGUCAUCCUUCACCUUGCCAGGUCCCGUCCGCCCCUCUCGUGGUCUUCCGGUUCUGCAUCUACUGGAACAUCUUUGCUUGGCACUUAAUGAUGAAUUCAGAACUUAUCUUCCUGUCAUCCUUCCAUGUUUCAUCCAAGUAUUAGGUGACGCGGAGCGGUUUAAUGAUUACAUCUACGUUCCUGAUAUUCUCCACACGCUCGAAGUGUU